CUGCUGGAUUAUGACUCAAGUUGACACAGGAAGAUAGCAAAUCCAGUCCUCUCCCCAGAGGAAUUGAGACCUGAUGGGGGCCUUCUCACAACUUCAGGGUGCAGGGUGGAGAAUAAAUAAGGAUCAGAUGCACCACACAUACCAGCAGCUUGUGCCCGGCAAUGUUCCUAAGAUGAGAUGGGGAAAGGCAGACACAGGGUUCAUGAAAUGUGGCCAACAGAAAUGAGGUAACAGAAUGCACCCAACCAGCUGUCUGAAAUACAAAGCAGGGACCCAAGGGAAGAAAUACAUAUAUGGGACAUUUAAGGUCCCAAGAGACCUGGGAUGAGGUGACAGGAACUGGUAUGCUCUGCCUAUGACCUUCAGCCCCAUUGUGGGGCUGAGAAGCCUGGCAUUUGGAGGCUUCAGACUGCCACAGGGAUCUCCAAAUUCACCCACUGGGGAGGCAAAGGCUUCUGUUGGAUGUGUCACAAGGAGGAGCCCUCUUCACUCAGGCAAGAUCCUGUGGCUCUUUUCUGUCUGUUCCCAUCAUCCAAGGACAGAGCAUCCCACCCUGACCUCCCUGCAGAACAAGGAGGCCGUGACUGUUUGAAAUUGCCGUGAACCCUCAGGGGCAGCUCCAAUGCCUUUGACUUUCAGACCCCUCACCUGGAAGCCAUCUCUGCUUCACCAGAACUUACUCUACUCCCAAAAUCUACCUGGGAUUACCGCCUGUAUGUCUUGUUUUCCUUACAGUGCUUAGUGCUUAGCAUAUAGGAAAGAACCCAAUAAAUGAUAAUUACUAUUUUUGGUGUUUUUCUUUAAUUUUUUUUAUUAAACAGGGAGAGAAAAGAGGGAGGAAACCCUAAGGAGAGGGACCAUUAGAGCCAGCUAUAUAACUUGCAGGGCCCAGUGCAAAGUGAAAAUGUGAAGCUUGGAUGCUGGAAAAUCACUCUUUCCUUCCCAUGGGCCCAACUCUUCCAGGCCAUGUCUGAUAGGUAACCCCCAAGAGGUUGCAACCUCCUUGCAGGGACAUGCUUGGAAACUGAGAUGGUUGCGAGGACACACUGAGUCACUUGCCAAACACAUCAUUACCAGGCACUUGCAACCCAGGGCAGGGAUGGCUGUUACCUUGUCCUGCAAGGAGCAUGCCCAAACCCGACCCUCCCCAUUUAUGCACCCAAGCACUGGCUGGCUGGAGGGCAAUGGAGGAAUAACAUGGUUGUCACUCCGGCAGAGCGUGGCGGCUGUCACAGAACGGGAAGGAAAAUAUUGGCCUCAGGUUCAAAGAUCAGGUGGCUAAGAACUCAUCCCAGGGAGGUGCUGGGAGGUGACCACACAUGAAUCAUCUGACCAUAUCACCUUGUCUCAUUAGUGACAUCUAUGGCUUACCAGACAG
rnacentral:lncRNA from 1 species